GUACUAUGAAUGAACAUUCUUCGUCAUCCUCUUUCUCACUGCUUCGUCAAUCUUUACUAUCAGUGGAUUUGAAAAAUGCCGUGGAACUUUCUCUGAGCUCCAAACAUUUUCACGAUCAUAUAAAAGAGCUAUUCAAAGAUCGUGUUUCUUUGUCCGUUCAUAUGGAUGAAAUGGAUAAAUUCAUAAGAUUGCCCCGAAAGGAUCAAGAAGAUGUUAGAGAGGAUAUUUAUACUGUUGAAAAUGGAUUUAGAAGAUCCGAGUUUUGAAGAAAGAAAUCCUGAGACGUUGAUCAAACUGACCAUCGGAGAUGUUGCUGUAUCUACCUUUGGAAUUACGAGCACCUAUUGGGAAAAUGAAAUGGAAGGAGUUUCGAAGAUGACAGAUUAUCUUUUGUAAUUGUUUGGAGGCCCAAUUGAAGAAAUGUCAAUUACAGAGAUAAAUUUUGAUGAUGAGUA
rnacentral:sRNA from 1 species